GUACACACCGCCCGUCACACCAUGAGAGUUGGGGAUACCCGAAGCCUGUGAGCUAACUUUUAGAGGCAGCAGUCGAAGGUAGAAUCAAUGAUUGGGGUGAAGUCGUAACAAGGUACC
rnacentral:rRNA from 1 species